rnacentral:misc_RNA from 1 species
UAUAUAUGUUCAAUUUAUAUUUAUGAUGGUUAGUAGUGUAAUGUUGUGACAGGUUAUAAACAUCAAAUGUUAAUAGUCGGAAGAUUCAAUCGAGUCUACGAAAUCCGUCACUUAUUCUGAAAUGAAUAGACAUGACCCCCAACCCUGAAUUCACAUCCUGCGAUUUUUACAUGGCCUACGCCGACGAACACGACCUGAUGGUAAUAACCGAGACACUGGUCUCAGGAAUGGUAAAAAGCAUUCAUGGAAUCCACAAGUUAGUCUACCACCCAGACCGUCCGCAAGGCGAAAAUGUAAAAAUAGACUUCACUCCCCCGAGACAACUGCCAGUGAUAAAAAUCCUGGAAGAGAAACUGGGCGUCAAGUUUCCGGAUCCUGAGGAAUUAAACUCCGAGGAAGCCAACAAAUUCCUGAGUGAUUUGUGCAUUAAGCAUAACGUCGAGUGUCCUUCAUCGACAGCCACCGCACGUUUGUUAGGCACGUUUGAUAGUCAAUUUGUUAUGAUAAGUAUUUCGACUGCAUUCAAAAAUACUCUAUCUGUAGAUACACAAUUGAGAAAUGACCUUGUAACUUGAGAACUAUUGACAUUUUUAAAAAUAUAAGUUCACCUCGACAUUAAAUUUACGGAGACUUUUCAUUUGAGUACCCAUAUCAAUUUUUCAUAUAUUUUAUGUAUUUAUGUAUAUGUAUAUAUGAAAAAUAUU